GAUGAACGCUAGCGAUAGGCUUAACACAUGCAAGUCGAGGGGCAUCACGAAUUAGCAAUAGUUUGGUGGCGACCGGCGCACGGGUGCGUAACACGUAUACAACCUACCUUCAAUUGGGGGAUAACCUGGAGAAAUUCGGACUAAUACCCCAUAGUAAACGGAAGAGGCAUCUUUUUUGUUUUAAAGAUUUAUUGAUUGGAGAUGGGUAUGCGUAGGAUUAGCUAGUUGGUAAGGUAACGGCUUACCAAGGCGACGAUCCUUAGGGGUUCUGAGAGGAAGGUCCCCCACACUGGUACUGAGACACGGACCAGACUCCUACGGGAGGCAGCAGUGAGGAAUAUUGGUCAAUGGUCGAGAGACUGAACCAGCCAAGUCGCGUGAAGGAAGACGGCUCUAUGAGUGUGUAAACUUCUUUUGUACAGGAGUAAAGUGAGACACGCGUGUUUUAUUGCAAGUACUGUACGAAUAAGCAUCGGCUAACUCCGUGCCAGCAGCCGCGGUAAUACGGAGGAUGCAAGCGUUAUCCGGAUUUAUUGGGUUUAAAGGGUGCGUAGGCGGUAUUACAAGUCAGGGGUGAAAUCUUGGUGCUUAACAUUAAAAUUGCCUUUGAAACUGUGGUACUUGAGUGUAAAAGAGGUAGGCGGAAUGUGUUGUGUAGCGGUGAAAUGCAUAGAUAUAACACAGAACCCCGAUUGCGAAGGCAGCUUACUAUCAUACAACUGACGCUGAUGCACGAAAGCGUGGGGAUCAAACAGGAUUAGAUACCCUGGUAGUCCACGCAGUAAACGAUGAUUACUAGCUGUUAGCGAUAUACUGUUAGUGGCUAAGCGAAAGCGAUAAGUAAUCCACCUGGGGAGUACGUUCGCAAGAAUGAAACUCAAAGGAAUUGACGGGGGCCCGCACAAGCGGAGGAACAUGUGGUUUAAUUCGAUGAUACGCGAGGGAACCUUACCGGGGCCUGAAAAGCUAUCGACCGACGGAGAGAUUCGUUAUCCAGCAAAUGGCGAUAGUGUAGGUGCUGCAUGGGUUGUCGUCAGCUCGUGCCGUGAGGUGUCGGCUUUAGUGCCAUAACGAGCGCCACCCUGCCAUUAG
rnacentral:rRNA from 1 species